rnacentral:tRNA from 6 species
AACGAAAAUCCGUUGGUUUCACGGGACCGUGAGGGUUCGAAUCCCUCUAUCCCCAGCAAG